UACGUAGGGUGCGAGCGUUGUCCGGAAUUAUUGGGCGUAAAGAGCUCGUAGGCGGUCUGUCGCGUCUGCUGUGAAAUCCCGAGGCUCAACCUCGGGCCUGCAGUGGGUACGGGCAGACUAGAGUGCGGUAGGGGAGAUUGGAAUUCCUGGUGUAGCGGUGGAAUGCGCAGAUAUCAGGAGGAACACCGAUGGCGAAGGCAGGUCUCUGGGCCAUUACUGACACUGAGAAGCGAAAGCAUGGGGAGCGAACAGG
rnacentral:rRNA from 1 species